GAGCCUGUAGCUCAGUUGGUAGAGCAUCGCCCUUUUAAGGCGCUGGUCCUGGGUUCGAGCCCCAGCGGGCUCACCA
rnacentral:tRNA from 2 species